rnacentral:lncRNA from 1 species
CGUGCGCUUUUGAGACGUGCACGUAUGCGCACGGACGGGCGCGCGCGCAUGUGCGUAUCGCUCCCUCUUCCAGCACUUCCUUUUCCCUUGUCAGUUCUUACACACUUGCAGGAAAGGCUCGGUUUUGUCGACGUGCAGCUGCCAGGAGCGGAGCCGGGUGGCCGUGACGUGGCAGCACCCGCGGCGCAGCGCGAAGCCCCUGCUGUGGUUCAUUCUGGAGUGUCUUUCUGCAGCUCGAUAUAGCCAGGAGUACCAAUUUUUUUGGCAGAAAGUCCCCAAGCAGGACACACUCGCGUACAUCCAGGAAGAGGCAGCAGCGGGAAGCCAUAUCAACGUGUCGGUAUACGCAGUCUACCCGGACGGAGUAAGCAAACCGUGCUCUGGCCAAGGUAAGCGCAGUGGUGUGGAGAAACUGCUGCUUGCUGUGAGGAGGUUGCAAAGUUCAGCUUGCUGCUUCAUUCUUGAUAGUCACACAGUUUGCUAAUUUUGUAGAGUUAUUUAAUUUUAGAAAAAAGAGCUAAAACUCAUCAGUUUUCUCCUGCCUGCCAUGGACCACAGAGAAAAGGAGGGCUCUAGAAGGAAACCUCUUGGCUGCAGGACAUGUCAAUUCAGAUUUUAUCAAAACAUCUCUAUGAAAGCCUUCUCUAGUUGGUAUGCUUUGUUUCUUCUGCACACAGAUCUCUGAUGAACAUGAGAUUAAUUCUACAAAAUAUGCCAAUGGAGUCAUCAUUCUCCCUUUUUGUGAUGCAAAAGAUCAGGUUGCUUCUUCUUUGCCACAUUUGGCAAUAAAACCUUAUAAGAAAACA